GCCAGCAGCCAUAUUACCCUGCAACUCAACUGACAUCCCACUGAAGCUAAGCAGGUACUAGCCUGUCCAGUAUCUGGAUGGUAAGCCUCCUGGGAAAAACUAAGGUUGUUGCUGGAA
rnacentral:rRNA from 1 species